UGUCCUCCUCCAUGGCAUCGAAGUAGGUAUCGCUAACUAAAAAAAACCUUACAUAUUAGUUGUGUACUGCAUAUGGGCCAUUCACACAAUAUAUGCAUGUUUGAUGUAACCUAGUGUGUCUAUUCAUGCCAUUGAUGAGAAAUAAAAUCAUUGCGCAGAAUUAUGAAAAGAAAGAAGAUCAGUGUAGGUUACUGAUCAUACUCUGUUGCAUUUCUUCCUGUUGCGCAGGGACUAGUAAAUCGAGAUCAAAAUCAUCUUGUUCAUCAGGAACAUCAAAGACGAUAUCUCCAUCUGCUUGCUGUUCAAUAUUAGCAGGCUGCACAUUGAGGUCUGGUAUGGCUUCUUCAUCUGGUUGGUGUUCAUCAUAAGUAGGCCACACAUUGAGGUCAGGUAUGGCCUAUCCAAUUGCUUGGUGCUCAUCAUCAGCAUCCACUACAGUAAGCAAUCUCACUUCCAACAAGUUGUGCUUCCUGUGCUUCAUGGAAUUGGAAGAGUUGUUCCUCAUCCGGUGGCCCCUGAUUCAGGUCUGUUAAGGCUGCAUGGAUUGGGAAUGGUGGUUCAUCUGGUGGCUCCUCAGCGUCUCCUAGAUCUGGUGGUUGUAAGUUGAGAUAAAAAACCAUGGGAGCUGGAGCACUCUAAGCUGUGAGCAUCAAAUGAAAGGAGGAGAGGAAGAGUUGUCUGGUGGCAACAGGCGUGUGCUUUAGUUGUAGUAUGUGAAACCGACUUCAAAUUGAAAUUUCAAAUGUAUGGUUGUGGUUUUUUUUUCUGCUUACUUCCAUUUGUGAAAUGUGGUUGUGUAUAUUGUGUGGCUGUUGUUGUCCCACGUGGGUGAUAUUUAUGAGGCACCGUGUACGGUCUGUUGUGAUGAAUUCUCUGGAUGCAAUGAUUACUGACUGGGUUCGAAUAAAGAGAGCAGGGUCACAUGCGUAA